CGUCAUGAGUGCUGAUCUAUUGGCGAAACUAAUAACAGGAAGCGAACAGUUGGCGGCCAUUAUUGUACGACGUUUCAUUGACACAAACGCCGAUGACGCCAUCACGACGGAAGAAUUGUUCGCACGAAAUAAGUAAAAGAACUAUUUUAUAAAAGAUUGCAUCUCUCUGCGGACGUAACCAGUAAAAACAAACAAGCAAAACCUACAACACCCUCCUUACAACAGAUCCGAUCCUCGGCAGCCGUAGAGAUGACGCUCGACGCGUCACCUGCUGGCCACCGGCGUCCGGCGCCAUGUUAGCGUCACGUUGCCAUGGAGACGCGCGGUGCGGAGCAGACGAGUUUCUUCAAAAUUUUAGUAAAUCAGUUUUUCGCACCGUUUAUUUCCGAAGCGUCGACUGUUAUCUGGAAAUGAAUCGUGAAUUCUGGCAGUGGAGCGCAGAUGCCGCGCAUUGCAAAAGCUAUUUUCCUAUGUACAUAAUAAUUUGAUGUAGAAAACCGCGAUGCUGGCGACAACGACGGCGGUGAUAAUUAUUAUUAUUACUAAUCUAUAACGCGAUGAUGAUAUUGAUCAACGAGACAUUUCUCAUGGAUACGCGCCACGUUAGACGUCACGGGUCGAUGACGUAAUAAUCGCUGACGUCACGACUGUUAAUAUGCCCGUGCAGAUAUUGCUGCCGAUAUCGAAAAAAGUAUAUAUACAUACAUAUAUAUAUAAA